rnacentral:rRNA from 1 species
ACGUAGGGUGCAAGCGUUGUCCGGAAUUAUUGGGCGUAAAGAGCUCGUAGGCGGUUCGUCGCGUCGGCUGUGAAAACCUGAGGCUCAACCUCAGGCCUGCAGUCGAUACGGGCGGACUUGAGUGUUGCAGGGGAGACUGGAAUUCCUGGUGUAGCGGUGAAAUGCGCAGAUAUCAGGAGGAACACCGGUGGCGAAGGCGGGUCUCUGGGCAACUACUGACGCUGAGGAGCGAAAGCGUGGGGAGCGAACAGGA